GACGAACGCUGGCGGCGUGCCUAACACAUGCAAGUCGAGCGAGUGAAUUUCCUUCGGGAUUGAAGCUAGCGGCGGACGGGUGAGUAACACGUGGGCAACCUGCCUCAUAGAGGGGAAUAGCCUUUCGAAAGGAAGAUUAAUACCGCAUAAGAUUGUAGCUUCGCAUGAAGUAGCAAUUAAAGGAGCAAUCCGCUAUGAGAUGGGCCCGCGGCGCAUUAGCUAGUUGGUGAGGUAACGGCUCACCAAGGCGACGAUGCGUAGCCGACCUGAGAGGGUGAUCGGCCACAUUGGGACUGAGACACGGCCCAGACUCCUACGGAAGGCAGCAGUGGGGAAUAUUGCACAAUGGGGGAAACCCUGAUGCAGCAACGCCGCGUGAGUGAUGACGGCCUUCGGGUUGUAAAGCUCUGUCUUCAGGGACGAUAAUGACGGUACCUGAGGAGGAAGCCACGGCUAACUACGUGCCAGCAGCCGCCGUAACAC
rnacentral:rRNA from 1 species